GACGAACGCUGGCGGCGUGCCUAAUACAUGCAAGUCGAGCGGACAGAAGGGAGCUUGCUCCCGGAAGUUAGCGGCGGACGGGUGAGUAACACGUGGGCAACCUACCCUGUAGAUCGGGAUAACAUCGAGAAAUCGGUGCUAAUACCGGAUAAUCAUUUGAAGUGCAUGCUUCGAAUGUAAAAGAUGGCUCCGGCUAUCACUACGGGAUGGGCCCGCGGCGCAUUAGCUAGUUGGUAAGGUAAUGGCUUACCAAGGCAACGAUGCGUAGCCGACCUGAGAGGGUGAUCGGCCACACUGGGACUGAGACACGGCCCAGACUCCUACGGGAGGCAGCAGUAGGGAAUCUUCCGCAAUGGACGAAAGUCUGACGGAGCAACGCCGCGUGAGUGAUGAAGGUUUUCGGAUCGUAAAGCUCUGUUGUUAGGGAUGAACAAGUGCCGUCUGAAUAAGGCGGCACCUUGACGGUACCUAACCAGAGAGCCACGGCUAACUACGUGCCAGCCGCCGCGGUAAUAC
rnacentral:rRNA from 1 species